rnacentral:tRNA from 3 species
GGGGUGUUAGCUCAGUUGGUAGAGCAGUGGACUCUUAAUCCAUGGGUCCAGGGUUCGAGUCCCUGACGCCCCACCA